rnacentral:rRNA from 1 species
UACGUAGGGGGGCAAGCGUUGUUCGGAAUUAUUGGGCGUAAAGAGCUCGUAGGCGGUUUGUCGCGUCUGCUGUGAAAACCCGAGGCUCAACCUCGGGCCUGCAGUGGGUACGGGCAGACUAGAGUGCGGUAGGGGAGAUUGGAAUUCCUGGUGUAGCGGUGGAAAUGCGCAGAUAUCAGGAGGAACACCGGUGGCGAAGGCGGUUCUCUGGGCAUUACCUGACGCUGAGGAGCGAAAGUGUGGGGAGCGAACAGG